ensembl:lncRNA LINC02286 long intergenic non-protein coding RNA 2286
UUUACUUCCUCUUUUUUUUUUCCUUUUCCUUUUCCUAUACCUUCCUUUGGUCCUUAUAAGUAUCCAAAUUGCCCUAAAAUAACUUCUGCACAUGCAGCAUUAGGAAGCAGUGUUUCCCAACCACUACAUUUGAAUGAUUCAUUCCUCUGAGGACCCUCAAGUACUUCAGAAGAACUAAAAAAUGAAUAUCACGUUACACCAAAGAAGAAAUGAAAGCUGCCAGUGUCUUCUGAAGUUAAACAGGCUCCUGUUCUUUGACCCAGCAAUCCAAUCCUAGAGGCGGGAAGUCCAAGAUCAAUCAAAGUGUUGGCAUCGGUUUAUUGUGAGCUGUUCCUGCGAGGGAAGGAUCUGUUCCAGGUAUUUAAUUGUUCCCUGAGGUUUAAGGCAGUGGACUGAGGAUAAUACAGGCUCCAGCUUUCAUUAGUUCAAUGGAUGAUGCUGUUCAAUCCAUACUGUUUGGGGCAUUUGUUGAAAAUGUCAUUCAGAAGAUAUCAACACUUUCUGAGUCAUGGUUUGAUUGAAUUUAUAGAAUUAUGUGAUAGAAACCACAUUCUUCACAAAAGUCACAAGGCAAUAAUGACGACAAGGGUUGAAGAUGAAAGAUGCCAAAUAUUCUGAUCAAUUCAAUAAGGCAAAAAGACAAGUUAAUUCACUCAGUGCUCCAGGCAUCAACUUCAUAGAAGGAAUGGAAAUUCUACCUGUUUCCUAAAGAACUACAGAGGUGUACACCAAACGGAGGGCAAAUGCUGUUACCACUCAUCGUGCAAGACUUUUGAGGCAAUUUGGACAUAGACAAGUGAUGGGAAAAUUGAAUCAUUAUAUGGCUCAUGACAGUGUUGAAAACUCAAACAUCCAAGGACCUGUACCUUUGCUAAGUGCCAUGCAUAUGUUGCUGAUAAAGAUGCAAUAAAUACUCUUUUGUUAAAUUA